UGCAGCAAGGUCUCGUGCUGGAUGAUGAUGUCAAUAUUAUGAGACCUCUGUUCCCUUCUGAUCUGAGUCUAUUAAUUUUAUUAUCAGCAUCAAGGACUCUGUGAUUUGAUCUCAAGUCACAUACAGACAGUGUUUCCCCAAAGAGCUUUUGAAAGUGAUUUCCUUUCUCAAGGUCAGGGCAGGAGGAUCUCUUGUCUUGUGCAUUUGCCAUCCAAAGGCUGGACCAAAGUUAACACAGCCAAGAAUACCAGAGUAAACAACGGGGGAGAAAUCGCUGCUGUGGCAGCCCCUGGAGCUGCAGCGUUCCUGGGAGAUUUCAUCUGAUCGGCGUCUGUGCACAAGCCAGAGCUAAGCCUGUGACUCCAGCUUGCGUCAAGUUGACAGAAAACUAGCCAGCACAAUAGAUUCUCUCUGCCUCCUGUUCAUGGUUGAACAUGUGAGCCUCUGCUUCCUACUCUGGCCUCCAUUCCUGCCUGCUGUCACCGUGAUGGAAUCUAAAUACUCUGGAAUAAUAAACCAAAACAAACUCUAUCUUCUGAAUGGAGCUUGCUCUGAAAUUGACAUCUUGCUGUGACUUCCUCUGUGACCAUGCAGAGCUGUGCCCCAGUUACUUAAGACUGAUAAAUAUUUACAUCUUCGAGACCUUCAAGAUUCUUCCCUGGAACAAAGAGGAUUCAUCAAGAGUGAUGACAGAAGCAAGAGCAAUCCCAGGGUGUGAGCCAGUAGGGGAGCUGGAAGACAUCCCUGGGUAAGGUGGUUUGGCUGCUUGGCCAACGCCCCAUAGGCCUGGGGCUGUUUCACUGAGGUUGACCCUCUUCUACAGAUUUCAUUCUUGGCUUUUAGAAGUAUUUUUGGAGCCCAUCAAGAGCCUCAGGGAAGUAACGGUUGACGUAACUUUGGCCAAAGUUCUGUACAGAGUUUGUCCACGGGAGAGACGCUGGAUCUUGGCCAGCUUGAACACAUGAAGGAAACCUAGCCAAAACGGUUUAAAAGGGUUUGCAGUUUUGCGCUUGUUUAGACUGUUGCCAGAUCACCCACUAAGAACGAACAUUCAGGGGCCAGGGACAUGUUUCUCGGGUGCACACCUAGACCGUAUUUCUUUAUCCUCACUGGCAUCAGCAUGACUGUCGAUUCUUUGCUGUUUGGUUUUGCCUUUGUUUGGUUUUAGUUUGGGUUUUGAGACAGGAUCUUGCUAUGUUGUCCAGGCUGUCUCCACAUUAGUGGCCAUGCCUUAGCCUCAUAAGAUUAUAGGUGUGUGUCAUCCUGUCCAGGGAUGAUGGUUAACUCUUCAUUUAUGUUGAGGCAGACGAUCAUUGAGCCUCCUCAGCUGUCCUCAAACUCACUACAUACCUUUGUGAGACCUUGAACUUCUGAUCCUCUUGCCCCCAUCUCCUGAGAGCUGGAAUUUAUCACGUGCCACCACACUAGAAUCAAUCCUAGAACUUUGUUCAUACGUGGCAGAAGCUUUGCCAGCAGGGAUACACCCCCAGUCACCGGCUGUGCCUUAUUUAUGCGGUGUUGCGAUCAGAAUAAGAUUGUUAAUGUAAGUUACCCCUUUAAUCUUCUCGAGUGAGGGCAACAGGACAGACAAGGAAAUCAAGGGCUCGGAGUGUCUCUGUGAAUUGAGAGGCAGAGCCAAGGACUCCAGACUUCCGAUCUGGAAGCUUUCCGGCCUUGUCUGAGAUGGCUCAGAUUCACUUCAUCCAGCUCUCUUGAUGUAAGUAGGGAUGAGGAACACCAGCCUUAGAUAACGUGGGUUUUAAACAGCGCCUCACCCAAGAAAUAAAUAAUAAGGUAAAUGAAAGCUGCGGUACAACCUUCAUGAUUACAAAACUCAGACAAAGUACUACCCAGAGAUAAUGGUGGGAAGAGAUCUGCUACCUGUAGCAGGUGAGGGAAGUGCGGGGCUUUUGAGAGCAAUUGCCGUCAUCCAGUGAAGAGCAUUCCUUUUGUAAUCUGUUAGCAUAGGAGACCAGAGCUUCCACCAACCCCAAAGUGAAGGAUGUCAUCAGUUAGCAUCUGAGGCCUAUGGAAAGCUUCUGCUAGCUUGCUGCAACCUCCCUAAUGUACCCGCCAUUAAUUCGCCUUGAUUGAUAGCAUUCUUUGUUCUAUUAUUAUAGAACUUUAUGAAGUCACUUCUAUGGGGUGGGGAAACAUGAAACUUGGGGCUACCUAGUUCUGUGUUUCCUGGGCUAUGGUGACUCAAAUUUGGCUCCAGAAUAAACUAUUCCCUUUGAAACAA